rnacentral:rRNA from 1 species
GGUUAAGUCCCGCAACGAGCGCAACCCUUGUCUUUAGUUGCCAUCAUUAAGUUGGGCACUCUAGAGAGACUGCCAGGGAUAACCUGGAGGAAGGUGGGGAUGACGUCAAAUCAUCAUGCCCCUUAUGCUUAGGGCUACACACGUGCUACAAUGGGUAGUACAGAGGGUUGCCAAGCCGUAAGGCGGAGCUAAUCCCUUAAAGCUACUCUCAGUUCGGAUUGUAGGCUGAAACUCGCCUACAUGAAGCUGGAGUUACUAGUAAUCGCAGAUCAGAAUGCUGCGGUGAAUGCGUUCCCGGGUCUUGUACACACCGCCCGUCACACCACGGGAGUUGGAGACGCCCGAAGCCGAUUAUCUAACCUUUUGGAAGAAGUCGUCGAAGGGGGAAUCAAUAACUGGGGUGAAGUCGUAACAAGGUAGCCGUAUCGGAAGGUGCGGCUGGAUCACCUCCUUUCUAAGGA